rnacentral:rRNA from 1 species
AACCUCCGCAAUGUGAGAAAUCGCGACGGGGGGAUCCCAAGUGCCAUUCUUAACGGGAUGGCUUUUCAUUAGUGUAAAGAGCUUUUGGAAUAAGAGCUGGGCAAGACCGGUGCCAGCCGCCGCGGUAACACCGGCAGCUCUAGUGGUAACAAUUUUUAUUGGGCCUAAAGCGUCCGUAGCCGGUUUAAUAAGUCUCUGGUGAAAUCCUGCAGCUUAACUGUGGGAAUUGCUGGAGAUACUAUUAGACUUGAGACCGGGAGAGGUUAGAGGUACUCCCAGGGUAGAGGUGAAAUUCUGUAAUCCUGGGAGGACCGCCUGUUGCGAAGGCGUCUAACUGGAACGGUUCUGACGGUGAGGGACGAAAGUUAGGGGCGCGAACCGGAUUAGAUACCCGGGUAGUCCUAACUGUAAACGAUGCGGACUUGGUGUUGGGGUGGCUUUGAGCUGCUCCAGUGCCGAAGGGAAGCUGUUAAGUCCGCCGCCUGGGAAGUACGGUCGCAAGACUGAAACUUAAAGGAAUU